GCGAGCUUGCCUAGAUGAUUUUAGUGCUUGCACUAAAUGAAACUAGAUACAAGCGAGCGGCGGACGGGUGAGUAACACGUGGGUAACCUGCCCAAGAGACUGGGAUAACACCUGGAAACAGAUGCUAAUACCGGAUAACAACGCUAGACGCAUGUCUAGAGUUUGAAAGAUGGUUCUGCUAUCACUCUUGGAUGGACCUGCGGUGCAUUAGCUAGUUGGUAAGGUAACGGCUUACCAAGGCAAUGAUGCAUAGCCGAGUUGAGAGACUGAUCGGCCACAUUGGGACUGAGACACGGCCCAAACUCCUACGGGAGGCAGCAGUAGGGAAUCUUCCACAAUGGACGAAAGUCUGAUGGAGCAACGCCGCGUGAGUGAAGAAGGGUUUCGGCUCGUAAAGCUCUGUUGGUAGUGAAGAAAGAUAGAGGUAGUAACUGGCCUUUAUUUGACGGUAAUUACUUAGAAAGUCACGGCUAACUACGUGCCAGCAGCCGCGGUAAUACGUAGGUGGCAAGCGUUGUCCGGAUUUAUUGGGCGUAAAGCGAGUGCAGGCGGUUCAAUAAGUCUGAUGUGAAAGCCUUCGGCUCAACCGGAGAAUUGCAUCAGAAACUGUUGAACUUGAGUGCAGAAGAGGAGAGUGGAACUCCAUGUGUAGCGGUGGAAUGCGUAGAUAUAUGGAAGAACACCAGUGGCGAAGGCGGCUCUCUGGUCUGCAACUGACGCUGAGGCUCGAAAGCAUGGGUAGCGAACAGGAUUAGAUACCCUGGUAGUCCAUGCCGUAAACGA
rnacentral:rRNA from 1 species